UACGUAGGGUGCAAGCGUUAAUCGGAAUUACUGGGCGUAAAGCGUGCGCAGGCGGUUGUGCAAGACAGAUGUGAAAUCCCCGGGCUUAACCUGGGAAUUGCAUUGGAGACUGCAAGGCUAGAAUCUGGCAGAGGGGGGUAGAAUUCCACGUGUAGCAGUGAAAUGCGUAGAGAUGUGGAGGAACACCGAUGGCGAAGGCAGCCCCCUGGGUCAAGAUUGACGCUCAUGCACGAAAGCGUGGGGAGCAAACAGG
rnacentral:rRNA from 1 species